rnacentral:rRNA from 1 species
GAUGAACGCUGGCGGCGUGCCUAAUACAUGCAAGUCGGGCGAACAGACGGGGAGCUUGCUCCUCUGACGUUAGCGGCGGACGGGUGAGUAACACGUGGAUAACCUACCUAUAAGACUGGGAUAACUUCGGGAAACCGGAGCUAAUACCGGAUAAUAUAUUGAACCGCAUGGUUCAAUAGUGAAAGACGGUUUUGCUGUCACUUAUAGAUGGAUCCGCGCCGCAUUAGCUAGUUGGUAAGGUAACGGCUUACCAAGGCGACGAUGCGUAGCCGACCUGAGAGGGUGAUCGGCCACACUGGAACUGAGACACGGUCCAGACUCCUACGGGAGGCAGCAGUAGGGAAUCUUCCGCAAUGGGCGAAAGCCUGACGGAGCAACGCCGCGUGAGUGAUGAAGGUCUUCGGAUCGUAAAACUCUGUUAUUAGGGAAGAACAAAUGUGUAAGUAACUAUGCACGUCUUGACGGUACCUAAUCAGAAAGCCACGGCUAACUACGUG